rnacentral:pre_miRNA from 1 species
UACAAUUUUUGACUCUUCGUCUUAUUCAAAUUUUUUUUAUUGAUAUUUUUGUUUUUAUUAGAUGAUAAAUUAUAAAUAAUACUUUAUAUAUGACUAAUUUUUUUCUAAAAAUUUUUUAAAUAAGACGGACGGUCAAACGUUAGACACGGAAAUCAAAG